UCUAGCUGUAUGAGUGUUAUUAAGCCAUCAUAAAGCUAGAUAACCGAAAGUAGAAAUGACUUCCAACCCUUCCUGGAGCUGGGAAGCCAAUGGACCACGAGGGACGUGGAGCCAGACGCAGCACGGACCCUGGAGCAGAACAAGAUUAACCCCAGAUCAUCUCCGAUCUUCUGCCAAGGAUUCGCCGGAGUCCUUCCAGACCCAGACAUGACUGAAAGUUCAUGGAUUGGGAUGCAAUGGGAAGAGACAGGACAUCUCUGGGUGAGCAAGGAGAGAGCCUGUGUGACAUUCUGCAGCAAAGAUAAAAAACUUCCCAUUCGGCACAAGGAGCACAGGAGAGAAAGGUGGAGAGUCGCUCCUCCCCGGUUAACCUCCCCUUCCCAGUCCCCUCUGGUAUUCUCCCCUCUCCACGAGACCAUCAACUCAGCGAGGGGCCCUCAACAAGCAAGAGCUGGAGGAGGAGGACAAAAAGAGAGGCAGAAAGAGGGAGAAGGGCAGCCCCUGUGA
ensembl:lncRNA